GCGGCCUGGGCCCCGGGCUGUGCUGCUGGGUGUCAGUGUUCUCCUGCCUCAGCCUCGCCUGCUCCUACGUGGGCAGCCUCUACGUCUGGAAGAGCGAACUGCCCAGGGACCAUCCCGCGGUCAUCAAGCGACGCUUCACCAGCGUCCUGGUGGUGUCCAGUCUCUCACCCCUGUGCGUGCUGCUCUGGAGGGAACUCACAGGCAUCCAGCCAGGCACAUCCCUGCUCACCCUGAUGGGCUUCAGGCUGGAGGGCAUUUUCCCAGCGGCGCUGCUGCCCCUGUUGCUGACCAUGGUGAGUGCUCCUGCUGUAUUUUUUCUUCUGGUCUUUGUUAUCAGCCUGAUGGGCAGUGCCGUGGACUCUUGUUUUUGGUUUUUGGUUGAUGGGAGACAGGACUUUUGAGAUGGCCCCAGGGUCCUCCGGUAUGCAUGGUCUGGAAAUCGUGGCUGGAGAGGAUUUCAAGCUUGGAGUCUCAGGGAGCAUGGGCAAAGGUCUGGGCAAAAGCGGUGGGUUAUGGUGAAAGUGUUUUCUUGCCCUCAGAUUCUUUUCCUGGGCCCACUGAUGCAGCUCUCUAUGGAUUGCCCUUGUGACCUGGCAGAUGGGCUGAAGGUUGUCCUGGGUGAGUCUUAAAGGCUGAAGGGAAAAGUAGGCACAGGCAGUCCAGGACAUUGGGGCAGGGAGUCAGCGGGCUCAGGGUGUGAUCUGGACACGUGAAAUGUCAUCUCUCUGGGUGUGUUUUCUCAUCAGUAAAAUGGAAACAUAGAGCUAGGUGGCCUCUAAGGGUUGAUUGCCAACGUCCAAGGAGUUCCCUGGGAACCCCCAGCAGUAUUUGGUGUGGAUCAGAGAGCACUGUCCCCUGCUUCCCCAACCAGAGCUAGUCUUGCUUAAAUUUUGGUGUCUCCAGAGUUUACUUCCAGGAUGCCCUUGCCUCAGCUAAUGCCUUCCAUUCAG
rnacentral:lncRNA from 10 species